AGUGAACGCUGGCGGUAGGCCUAACACAUGCAAGUCGAACGGCAGCACAGUAAGAGCUUGCUCUUACGGGUGGCGAGUGGCGGACGGGUGAGGAAUACAUCGGAAUCUACUUUUUCGUGGGGGAUAACGUAGGGAAACCUACGCUAAUACCGCAUACGACCUACGGGUGAAAGCAGGGGAUCUUCGGACCUUGCGCGAGUGAAUGAGCCGAUGUCGGAUUAGCUAGUUGGCGGGGUAAAGGCCCACCAAGGCGACGAUCCGUAGCUGGUCUGCGGUGAUGAUCAGCCACACUGGAACUGAAACACGGUCCAGACUCCUCCGGGAGGCAGCAGAGGGGAAUAUUGGACAAUGGGCGCAAGCCUGAUCCAGCCAUACCGCGUGGGUGAAGAAGGCCUUCGGGUUGUAAAGCCCUUUUGUUGGGAAAGAAAAGCAGCAGGUUAAUCCCCCGCUGUUCUGACGGUACCCAAAGAAUAAGCACCGGCUAACUUCGUG
rnacentral:rRNA from 1 species